rnacentral:rRNA from 1 species
AGAGAAUAGAUACCCAGGUAGUCCCAGCCGUAAACGAUGCUCGCUAGGUGUCAGGCAUGGCGCGACCGUGUCUGGUGCCGCAGGGAAGCCGUGAAGCGAGCCACCUGGGAAGUACGGCCGCAAGGCUGAAACUUAAAGGAAUUGGCGGAGGAGCACAACAAACGGGUGGAGCCUGCGGUUUAAUUGGACUCAACGCCGGACAACUCACCGGGGGCGACAGCAAUAUGUAGGCCAAGCUGAAGACUUUGCCUGAAUCGCUGAGAGGAGGUGCAUGGCCGUCGCCAGUUCGUACUGUGAAGCAUCCUGUUAAGUCAGGCAACGAGCGAGACCCGUGCCCACUGUUACCAGCAUGUCCUGGUAC